ACGGGAGGCAGCAGUGAGGAAUAUUGGUCAAUGGAGGAAACUCUGAACCAGCCAAGUCGCGUGAAGGACGACGGCCCUAUGGGUUGUAAACUUCUUUUGUAGCUGGAUAAACGACAUUACGUGUAAUGUUUUGAAGGUAAUCUACGAAUAAGCAUCGGCUAACUCCGUGCCAGCAGCCGCGGUAAUACGGAGGAUGCGAGCGUUAUCCGGAUUUAUUGGGUUUAAAGGGUGCGCAGGCGGGCGAUUAAGUCAGCGGUGAAAUCUCGGAGCUCAACUCUGAAACUGCCGUUGAUACUGGUUGUCUUGAGUCAUAUCGAGGAUGGCGGAAUGCAGCGUGUAGCGGUGAAAUGCAUAGAUAUGACGAAGAACACCGAUUGCGUAGGCAGCUUACCAGUCCGUUAAUGACGCUCAUGCACGAAAGUGCGGGGAUCGAACAGGAUUAGAUACCCUGGUA
rnacentral:rRNA from 1 species